GACGAACGCUGGCGGCGUGCUUAACACAUGCAAGUCGAACGGAAAGGCCCUGCUUUUGUGGGGUGCUCGAGUGGCGAACGGGUGAGUAACACGUGAGUAACCUGCCCUUGACUUUGGGAUAACUUCAGGAAACUGGGGCUAAUACCGGAUAGGAGCUCCUGCUGCAUGGUGGGGGUUGGAAAGUUUCGGCGGUUGGGGAUGGACUCGCGGCUUAUCAGCUGGUUGGGGGGGUAGUGGCUUACCAAGGCUUUGACGGGUAGCCGGCCUGAGAGGGUGACCGGCCACAUUGGGCCUGGGAUACGGCCCAGACUCCUACGGGAGGCAGCAGUGGGGAAUAUUGCACAAUGGGCGGAAGCCUGAUGCAGCAACGCCGCGUGCGGGAUGACGGCCUUCGGGUUGUAACCCGCUUUCGCCUGUGACGAAGCGUGAGUGACGGUAAUGGGUAAAGAAGCACCGGCUAACUACGUG
rnacentral:rRNA from 1 species